UACGGAGGGUGCGAGCGUUAAUCGGAAUUACUGGGCGUAAAGCGUGCGCAGGCGGCGCGUUAAGACAGGUGUGAAAGCCCCGAGCUUAACUUGGGAAUUGCGCUUGUGACUGGCGUGCUGGAGUGUGGCAGAGGGAGGUGGAAUUCCACGUGUAGCAGUGAAAUGCGUAGAGAUGUGGAGGAACACCGAUGGCGAAGGCAGCCUCCUGGGCCAGCACUGACGCUCAUGCACGAAAGCGUGGGGAGCAAACAGG
rnacentral:rRNA from 1 species